rnacentral:rRNA from 1 species
AUUGAACGCUGGCGGCAGGCCUAACACAUGCAAGUCGAACGAGUGGCGGACGUGUGGGUAAUGUCUGGGAAACUGCCUGAUGGAGGGGGAUAACUACUGGAAACGGUAGCUAAUACCGCAUACCAUCAGAUUUGCCCAGAUGGGAUUAGCUUGGUGGUGGGGUAACGGCUCACCAAGGCGACGAUCCCUAGCUGGUCUGAGAGGAGGCCAAGCAAAACUGGAACUGAGACACGGUCCAGACUCCUACGGGAGGCAGCAGUGGGGAAUAUUGCACAAUGGGCGCAAGCCUGAUGCAGCAAUGCCGCGUGUAUGAAGAAGUCCUUCGGUUUGUAAAGUACUGUCAGCGGGGAGGCGUUACCCGCAGAAGAAGCACCGGCUAACUCCGUGCCAGCAGCCGCGGUAAUUC